GCCCGCCGUGUCGAAGGCGUCGCGCAGCUCUUCCCACGGGUUGUGGACGGCGCCGACGACGGGCUUGUUGCCGUUCAGCCCGUGGCGGCCC
rnacentral:tRNA from 1 species